ensembl:snRNA U1 U1 spliceosomal RNA
AUACUUACCUGGCAGGGGAGAUACCAUGAUCAUGAAGGUGGUGUUCUCAAGGCGAGGCUUAUUCAUUACACUCUGGAUGUGCUAAGCCCUGCAAUUUCCUUAAACAUGGGAAAAUCGACUAUAUAAUUUGUGGUAGUGGGGAACUGUGUUCACGCUCUGUCCUGU